rnacentral:pre_miRNA from 1 species
CAAGUACUCCUUCCGUCCGAAAAUAUUUGUCUUCAAAAUGAAUAAAAGAGGAUGUAUCUAGACAUAUUUUAGUUCUAGAUACAUCUAUUUUUAUCCAUUUUGAUGACAAGUAUUUUCGGACGAAGGGAGUAGGAA